UACGGAGGGGGCUAGCGUUGUUCGGAAUUACUGGGCGUAAAGCGCACGUAGGCGGCUUUGUAAGUUAGAGGUGAAAGCCCGGGGCUCAACUCCGGAAUUGCCUUUAAGACUGCAUCGCUAGAAUUGUGGAGAGGUGAGUGGAAUUCCGAGUGUAGAGGUGAAAUUCGUAGAUAUUGGGAAGAGCACCGAUGGCGAAGGCAGCCAUCUGGACCGACACUGACGCUGAGGCGCGAAAGCGUGGGGAGCAAACAGG
rnacentral:rRNA from 1 species